GUGUUUGUUUUGGCAGCACAUAUACUAAAAUUGGAACGAUGCAGAGAUUAUCAUAGCCCCUGCGCAAGGGUGACAUGCAAAUUCACUAAUUGUUCCAUAUUUUU